GGGGGCAUAGCUCAGCUGGGAGAGCAGCAGACUGAAGUCAUUGUCGAACAUUGUAUUCUGAAGGUCCUGCGUUCGAUCCGCGGUGCCCCCA